rnacentral:rRNA from 1 species
UACAGAGGUCUCAAGCGUUGUUCGGAUUCAUUGAGCGUAAAGGGUGCGUAGGCGGCGCGGUAAGUCGGGUGUGAAAUCUCGGAGCUUAACUCCGAAACUGCAUUCGAUACUGCCGUGCUUGAGGACUGGAGAGGAGACUGGAAUUUACGGUGUAGCGGUGAAAUGCGUAGAUAUCGUAAGGAAGACCAGUGGCGAAGGCGGGUCUCUGGACAGUUCCUGACGCUGAGGCACGAAGGUCAGGGGAGCAAACGGG